AUUGAACGCUGGCGGCAGGCUUAAAACAUGCAAGUCGAGCGAGCGGCGGACGGGUGAGGGGUGUCUGGGAAACUGCCUGAUGGAGGGGGAUAACUAGUGGAAACGGUAGCUAAUACCGUAUACCAUCUUAUGUGCCCAGAUGGGAGUAGCUAGUAGGUGGGGUAAUGGCUCACCUAGGCGACGAUCCCUAGCUGGUCUGAGAGGAUGACCAGCCACACUGGAACUGAGACACGGUCCAGACUCCUACGGGAGGCAGCAGUGGGGAAUAUUGCACAAUGGGCGCAAGCCUGAUGCAGCCAUGCCGCGUGUGUGAAGAAGGCCUUCGGGUUGUAAAGCACUUUCAGCGAGGAGGCGGUACUCGCAGAAGAAGCAACGGCUAACUCCGUACCAGCAGCCGCGGUAAUUC
rnacentral:rRNA from 1 species